UACGUAGGGUGCAAGCGUUGUCCGGAAUUAUUGGGCGUAAAGGGCUCGUAGGCGGUCUGUCACGUCGGGAGUGAAAACUCAGGGCUUAACCCUGAGCCUGCUUCCGAUACGGGCAGACUAGAGGUAUGCAGGGGAGAACGGAAUUCCUGGUGUAGCGGUGAAAUGCGCAGAUAUCAGGAGGAACACCGGUGGCGAAGGCGGUUCUCUGGGCCGAUACUGACGCUGAGGAGCGAAAGCUAGGGGAGCAAACGGG
rnacentral:rRNA from 1 species